rnacentral:rRNA from 1 species
UACGUAGGGUGCGAGCGUCAAUCGGAAUUACUGGGCGUAAAGCGUGCGCAGGCGGUCUGUUAAGACCGAUGUGAAAUCCCCGGGCUUAACCUGGGAACUGCAUUGGUGACUGGCAGGCUUUGAGUGUGGCAGAGGGAGGUAGAAUUCCACGUGUAGCAGUGAAAUGCGUAGAGAUGUGGAGGAAUACUGAUGGCGAAGGCAGCCUCCUGGGCCAACACUGACGCUCAUGCACGAAAGCGUGGGGAGCAAACAGG